rnacentral:rRNA from 1 species
UCGGGAAUUUUGGGCAAUGGGCGAAGGCCUGACCCAGCAACGCCGCGUGAAGGAUGAAGUAUUUCGGUAUGUAAACUUCGUAAGAAUAGGAAGAAUAAAUGACGGUACUAUUUGUAAGGUCCGGCUAACUACGUGCCAGCAGCCGCGGUAAUACGUAGGGACCAAGCGUUGUUCGGAUUUACUGGGCGUAAAGGGCGCGUAGGCGGUGUGUCAAGUCAGUUGUGAAAUCUCCGAGCUUAACUCGGAACGGUCAACUGAUACUGUCACACUAGAGUACAGAAGGGGCAAUCGGAAUUCUUGGUGUAGCGGUGAAAUGCGUAGAUAUCAAGAGGAACACCUGAGGCGAAGGCGGGUUGCUGGGCUGAUACUGACGCUGAGGCGCGAAAGCUAGGGUAGCAAACGGGAUUAGAUACCCCGGUAGUCCCUGAGCGGGCUGGCAAGGCGCAU